rnacentral:rRNA from 1 species
UACGAAGGGGGCUAGCGUUGCUCGGAAUUACUGGGCGUAAAGCGCACGUAGGCGGUCUUUUAAGUCGGGGGUGAAAUCCUGGAGCUCAACUCCAGAACUGCCUUCGUUACUGGAAGACUCGAGUCCGGGAGAGGUGAGUGGAACUGCGAGUGUAGAGGUGAAAUUCGUAGAUAUUCGCAAGAACACCAGUGGCGAAGGCGGCUCACUGGCCCGGUACUGACGCUGAGGUGCGAAAGCGUGGGGAGCAAACAGG